rnacentral:lncRNA from 1 species
GACUAUUUCGCUUAUUUUUUAUAGAUUUCACUAGUAAACUUUACGCAAUUCUCGCAACUAUAAAUUAAUUAAAAUAAGUACUGGUCUUAAAUUUGAAGUCAAAAUAUCGUUGACUGACUCAAAUAAAACAAAUAAAAAAGUCGGAUAGUAAAAUUAAAAUUUUGAAAGAUUUAGUAGUCAAAUCAUAAUGAUCCAUAACUUAGAUAAAUUUCACACGUUUUUUUUUUUUCAUCAACAAAAUAA